rnacentral:rRNA from 1 species
UAGGGAAUCUUCCGCAAUGGACGCAAGUCUGACGGAGCAACGCCGCGUGAGUGAAGAAGGAUUUCGGUUCGUAAAACUCUGUUGUUAGAGAAGAACAGCGCAUAGAGUAACUGUUAUGCGUGUGACGGUAUCUAACCAGAAAGCCACGGCUAACUACGUGCCAGCAGCCGCGGUAAUACGUAGGUGGCAAGCGUUGUCCGGAUUUAUUGGGCGUAAAGCGAGCGCAGGCGGUCAAUUAAGUCUGAUGUGAAAGCCCCCGGCUCAACCGGGGAGGGUCAUUGGAAACUGGUUGACUUGAGUGCAGAAGGGGAGAGUGGAAUUCCAUGUGUAGUGGUGAAAUGCGUAGAUAUAUGGAGGAACACCGGUGGCGAAAGCGGCUCUCUGGUCUGUAACUGACGCUGAGGCUCGAAAGCGUGGGGAGCGAACAGG